ensembl:lncRNA
UUUAUAGACAGGAGAACUGAGGCUUGGGGGGGGGGCAUAACUUCCGGAAGGGCACAAAGCUAAAAAGUGGUAGGUGCGGAAUUUGAACCCAGGUCUUUGAGAUGCCCCAGUCCCUCCUCUCACAAGAAAGCACCUGAGCUUCCCACUUUCUGAUUGACGUGGCAGGGUUGGUUGGUUACAUCCGAAUCACCUGGGAGCUUUAAACUUCCUAUUGCUGGGCCCACCUGGUGAUUCUGAUUAAGCCGUUUUAGAGCGGAGCCCCUGAAUCUCCUUGACUCCAUCCUACCCGGAAGAGCAGAUAUCCCGUAAGUGCCAAGUUUCUUCCGCUGUCUGCAGCUGACCGUGAUGUCUUCUAGCUGGCAGCCCACCCUCUCCCACAGACCCCCAGCCAAAUCCCCAAGUGUAUUUCAGAAUCUGUGCACAGCUCCUUUAAGAAUGAGAAGAAGACAGCAGAGGAGCAAGUGUGGCCAAAGGGCUGUUAGCUGGACCAUCUCCUUCUGCGGCAUCUGGUCUGAGCUCCCCUCCGCCUGUGGGACCCACCUGUCACUCUCUGAGGAUUCUCUGAAGUCAGAUCCACCUUUAGGUUCUGCCCUUUUCCCUGAGCUCGUCCUUGGUCUUUGCUCUGUUGACUUGCGCCUCUUUGACCGCAGACACGUGCAGGCCUCUGCCCUGGCCCAUCUCUCCUGCAGUCCUGAUCUGGACAACUGUUGGCUCCACUCUGUCCCCUGCUUCUGUCUGAGCCAGUGCUUGUUAACAGGUCUUUCGUGUGGCUCCUUCUUUCAUAUUUUAUGGCACUCCUUUCCUGAACUUGGCACCAAGUCCCUCUGGAACUGUCCUGGGAGAUAAUACAAUGUCACUGCUAAGGGCAACAACCGAUUGUCCCUCUUCUUCAAUGAUCUACCAGUGUCCGCGAGCUGAACUCUCUCUCCGCUGGGGGAAGUCAAUGGAGGUCACUGCCCGAGAGAUUGAGGGUCAGUCUUUGUCUGCCUUCUUGACAGCUCCAAAAGUCUCAUGUUUCUGAUGAGAUCUGCUGAAGCUUUAUGGAGAGAAAAACCCAAGUGGUUCAAGCCGGCGUGCCUGGAUUCCCCUGGAAACAGCAGGAAUGCCCUUUCUGGGGGCUGUUAUUUGUUAAAAUCGGUUACAGUGCAUUCCAGGAGAGACGUUCCAAAAAAUGCAGGAGCAAUGACAGCCUUGCCGGAAUAGGAGCGAGAACAUGGAACGUGGAGUCAGUCAACCCAAGUUUCAAUGGGCAGAGGCAGCUCCUCACUUUCCAAAUGAACAACCUUGUGCAAGUCAUCAAAACUCCCCGAGCCUUCGCUUCUUCAUCUAUAAAAUGAGGAUGAAAAGAAGACCUUUCUGAUGGUGCUGGUUUGAAGAUCAAAUAAAAUAAUGAAUGUGAAAGUGUAUUGUGAAAUGUCAGGCGCUUUUUAAUGUUAACUAUUAAUAGUAAUGUGUAUUAUUAUUAGUCUAUGAUUCCACUGAACACUUUAGCAACAAAGAACAGAAACUCUGACUCAGACUGGCUUAACAACAGGGAAACUUAUUAUCUCCUGUAACAGGAGAUUCAAAGGUAGAUGAGGCUUCAGGGCUGGUGGGCUCAGGUCUCAGGUGCGUCUUCAGCGCCCAGGUUCUUUUUCUCUCCCUCUUCGGCCAUCCUGGGUUAUCAGCUUUAUCUUCAGCCUGGUCUAAGAUGGCUUAGCAAAUUCAGGCAUCACCGGUAGACACAGCACUAUUCUGCGGAGGGAGAGAGACUCUCCCUGUAGCUCUC